rnacentral:rRNA from 1 species
GUAGUGUUAUCGAAGUUUCUGGUGUCUAUAAAAAUCCUAAAACAAGUAAAGAAGGAACAGGUAUUCAGUUUUUCACGCCAUCUGUUACUAAGGUAGAGAAAUUUACCAGCACUAUUCUUCCUGCAGAUACUACCGUAUCAGAAUUGCAAAAACUUGCUACUGACCAUAAAGCAGAAGUAACUGUUAAGCAUGAAAGUUCAAGUGGUAUAUGGAUUAAUCUACUCGUAUCCAUUGUGCCAUUUGGAAUUCUAUUCUUCUUCCUAUUCUCUAUGAUGGGAAAUAUGGGAGGAGGCAAUGGCCGUAAUCCAAUGAGUUUUGGACGUAGUAAGGCUAAAGCAGCAAAUAAAGAAGAUAUUAAAGUAAGAUUUUCAGAUGUUGCUGGAGCUGAAGAAGAAAAACAAGAACUAGUUGAAGUUGUUGAGUUCUUAAAAGAUCCAAAACGAUUCACAAAACUUGGAGCCCGUAUUCCAGCAGGUGUUCUUUUGGAGGGACCUCCGGGGACAGGUAAAACUUUGCUUGCUAAGGCAGUCGCUGGAGAAGCAGGUGUUCCAUUCUUUAGUAUCUCAGGUUCUGACUUUGUAGAAAUGUUUGUCGGAGUUGGAGCUAGUCGUGUUCGCUCUCUUUUUGAGGAUGCCAAAAAAGCAGCACCAGCUAUCAUCUUUAUCGAUGAAAUUGAUGCUGUUGGACGUCAACGUGGAGUUGGUCUCGGCGGAGGUAAUGACGAACGUGAACAAACCUUGAACCAACUUUUGAUUGAGAUGGAUGGUUUUGAGGGAAAUGAAGGGAUUAUCGUCAUCGCUGCGACAAACCGUUCAGAUGUACUUGAUCCUGCCCUUUUGCGUCCAGGACGUUUUGAUAGAAAAGUAUUGGUUGGCCGUCCUGAUGUUAAAGGUCGUGAAGCAAUCUUGAAAGUUCACGCUAAGAACAAGCCUUUAGCAGAAGAUGUUGAUUUGAAAUUAGUGGCUCAACAAACUCCAGGCUUUGUUGGUGCUGAUUUAGAGAAUGUCUUGAAUGAAGCAGCUUUAGUUGCUGCUCGUCGCAAUAAAUCGAUAAUUGAUGCUUCAGAUAUUGAUGAAGCAGAAGAUAGAGUUAUUGCUGGACCUUCUAAGAAAGAUAAGACAGUUUCACAAAAAGAACGAGAAUUGGUUGCUUACCAUGAGGCAGGACAUACCAUUGUUGGUCUAGUCUUGUCGAAUGCUCGCGUUGUCCAUAAGGUUACAAUUGUACCACGCGGCCGUGCAGGCGGAUACAUGAUUGCACUUCCUAAAGAGGAUCAAAUGCUUCUAUCUAAAGAAGAUAUGAAAGAGCAAUUGGCUGGCUUAAUGGGUGGACGUGUAGCUGAAGAAAUUAUCUUUAAUGUCCAAACUACAGGAGCUUCAAACGACUUUGAACAAGCGACACAAAUGGCACGUGCAAUGGUUACAGAGUACGGUAUGAGUGAAAAACUUGGCCCAGUACAAUAUGAAGGAAACCAUGCUAUGCUUGGUGCACAGAGUCCUCAAAAAUCAAUUUCAGAACAAACAGCUUAUGAAAUUGAUGAAGAGGUUCGUUCAUUAUUAAAUGAGGCACGAAAUAAAGCUGCUGAAAUUAUUCAGUCAAAUCGUGAAACUCACAAGUUAAUUGCAGAAGCAUUAUUGAAAUACGAAACAUUGGAUAGUACACAAAUUAAAGCUCUUUACGAAACAGGAAAGAUGCCUGAAGCAGUAGAAGAGGAAUCUCAUGCACUAUCCUAUGAUGAAGUAAAGUCAAAAAUGAAUGACGAAAAAUAACCCUGAGAGAGGCUGGAGCCUCUCUUUUUUGUGCAGUUUAGGAGCUAAAGGGAACAGAAUGGAGAAAAUGGAACAAAUGUGUUUUCUAAUCUGUUCUUAAAAGGUGCACUUGCAUCACUACCAGAUGGACCUGCGUUGUAUUAGCUAGUUGGUGGGGUAACGGCUCACCAAGGCGACGAUACAUAGCCGACCUGAGAGGGUGAUCGGCCACACUGGGACUGAGACACGGCCCAGACUCCUACGGGAGGCAGCAGUAGGGAAUCUUCGGCAAUGGACGGAAGUCUGACCGAGCAACGCCGCGUGAGUGAAGAAGGUUUUCGGAUCGUAAAGCUCUGUUGUAAGAGAAGAACGAGUGUGAGAGUGGAAAGUUCACACUGUGACGGUAUCUUACCAGAAAGGGACGGCUAACUACGUGCCAGCAGCCGCGGUAAUACGUAGGUCCCGAGCGUUGUCCGGAUUUAUUGGGCGUAAAGCGAGCGCAGGCGGUUAGAUAAGUCUGAAGUUAAAGGCUGUGGCUUAACCAUAGUAGGCUUUGGAAACUGUUUAACUUGAGUGCAAGAGGGGAGAGUGGAAUUCCAUGUGUAGCGGUGAAAUGCGUAGAUAUAUGGAGGAACACCGGUGGCGAAAGCGGCUCUCUGGCUUGUAACUGACGCUGAGGCUCGAAAGCGUGGGGAGCAAACAGGAUUAGAUACCCUGGUAGUCCACGCUGUAAACGAUGAGUGCUAGGUGUUAGACCCUUUCCGGGGUUUAGUGCCGUAGCUAACGCAUUAAGCACUCCGCCUGGGGAGUACGACCGCAAGGUUGAAACUCAAAGGAAUUGACGGGGGCCCGCACAAGCGGUGGAGCAUGUGGUUUAAUUCGAAGCAACGCGAAGAACCUUACCAGGUCUUGACAUCCCUCUGACCGCUCUAGAGAUAGAGCUUUCCUUCGGGACAGAGGUGACAGGUGGUGCAUGGUUGUCGUCAGCUCGUGUCGUGAGAUGUUGGGUUAAGUCCCGCAACGAGCGCAACCCCUAUUGUUAGUUGCCAUCAUUUAGUUGGGCACUCUAGCGAGACUGCCGGUAAUAAACCGGAGGAAGGUGGGGAUGACGUCAAAUCAUCAUGCCCCUUAUGACCUGGGCUACACACGUGCUACAAUGGCUGGUACAACGAGUCGCAAGCCGGUGACGGCAAGCUAAUCUCUUAAAGCCAGUCUCAGUUCGGAUUGUAGGCUGCAACUCGCCUACAUGAAGUCGGAAUCGCUAGUAAUCGCGGAUCAGCACGCCGCGGUGAAUACGUUCCCGGGCCUUGUACACACCGCCCGUCACACCACGAGAGUUUGUAACACCCGAAGUCGGUGAGGUAACCGUAAGGAGCCAGCCGCCUAAGGUGGGAUAGAUGAUUGGGGUGAAGUCGUAACAAGGUAGCCGUAUCGGAAGGUGCGGCUGGAUCACCU